AAAAAAGCCCUACGCUAUUCCAUUGCGGUUUCUUCGAGCUUCUUCACUUGCGAAGUCCUCUGUUCAACUUCAUCCGAAUUCCUCCAAUUGGUGAAUCGUUUGUUCAGAUUAUCUGAGUGAGCGUUUCUUGGACUGGAUUUAGGGCAUCAGAUUCAGGGGAAUUAGGUGUUAUUCUUCGAGUUUCAAGGCAUAAUUUUGAUUUAAUAUUUUCAUAAUCUUGGCUGGUAUUAUGUUCGUUUAAGAUUUUAUUAGAAUUUGGCUGGUAUUAUGUUCGUUUGGUUUUAUUAGAAUUUCAUUAAACGAACAUAAAAACUGGAAGAACAAUUGUCGAAUUUGGCUGGUAUUAUGUUCAUUUGGUUUGAUUUUAUUAUAAUUUGAUGUAAAUUUCCUCGCCUUGCUUUUGAAGAUUCUCCUUGUUACAAAUCGUAGUACACUAGUACAUGAGGGUGGAAGGGACGAAUAGCACCAAAAAUUCUUCCCACCCCUUUGCCAAAUGCUGGACUACGUUGUCUGUCUACUGCAGUGUUAAAGAUGUUCUUUUUUUUUUGUUUUUCACAUUCUUUUGUGCAUUUUUGGUACCAUGCCUAUUGUUACUUUGAAAGAGCUAACGAUUUUGGGGGGAGACGAGACUUAAAUCAUAUACUCUUCUUCUGUUACUGAUUUUGAUGAAUAUGGAUUUUAGUUCUGUAUUUGGGAUUAUGAAUAGAAAGCAUAACAUGGAUUUUAGUUCUGUAUUUUAGUUCUGUAUUUGGGAUUAUGAAUACAGUGAUUUUAGUUCUGCUUUCUAUUCAUAUUCAGUAAUCUAUUCUGUAUUUGGCUGAAUAUGGAUUUCUAUUCAGUGAUAUUAAUAAUAACAUAUAUGUUGAUUUCUAUUCAGUGAAUAUAUCCCAACAUAUCCAUAUAAUACAUAUCCAUGUCAUCAUGUUGGGAUGUAUUCAGAACUAGAAUGACAGGCUUUGGCAUUUGUAUUAUAUCCAUGGCAUUGUAUUAUAAAUUCAGAACUAGAAUAAUAUUCAUGGUGAAGAAUUGAUGUCAGCGGAGGUUGGGACAAAUGGUGGUGGUGGGGAAACAUUAUGAAUUUAUGACGGAUUAUAGGGCAAGAUAGCACGACUUGCACCUCCUCCGGUUCUUCAAACCAUUAGUAGGAUUACUUUCCUCAUCUCUGUUACAUUUCUCAACUGUUAAUGUGGAGCAUUUACAAAAACCUCAUGCAGUCGUGCUGCUUGCAACUAUAUAUUAUGAAAUAACUUUAUAGGCUUUCAACUGUAUAGGGAUAAUGCCAUAGAUCCUUCUAAGUCAAUGAAGAAACAUGUAGGUUUUAAUUGUUUGUUAAGUGAACAGGACUUCCUUGCUAUUACGUAAAUGCAAGCUACUGCACAGUAAAGGGCAUUACAGAAUGAGAUAGAAUAUUUGGUGAAAUAUGAAAGAUACCUGUCAUAUGAGAAAAUCAAGGGUAGUUCAAAUUUUCAUUUUGCCUAAAUGUAUAGCUGAAUGUUCUUUUGCAUAACAAAUUCCUCCACUAACCAGUUUUAUUUUCCAAGAACUUGCCCGUCAUGCUUAUGUUGUUAGAUGUUUGUUAGCAGUAAUGGUCUCUUACCUAGGUAGCUAGGUUUUGUGUCACAGAAUUAUCUAUUGUUGUUAGAUGUUUGUUAGCGGAUCUUAUAAGCGUAUUGGGUCUUUUUAUUAUAUAUUUCUGCAAAUUGUAAAUAGAAUUAUACCUUUGUUUUGUUGUUUGGACUAUGGUAUUAAAUCUUGGAUCCGGUUGUGAUCCCGAACUUUAUCUCUUGACAUGCCACUAACCAAAAGUAAUACAUGGACAGGUUAAGUUUUCGUGUAUGUCAUAAUGACACUAGGUGGGAAAAAGAACAUGUUUCUGGCACCUGGAAUACUUGGUAAAAAUUGUGGCAAAGGACUAAAAGCUACAUUAUUUUCGAGAUCGCUUAAUGCAAAACCCCCUUCUUCUUAUAGCAAUAUUAGGCUGGUUACAACAUGUUAGAAAAAAUUACAACUUAAUUAGGAAUAGUUCCAUCUAGUGCUACAGUUUGUUCCUUUUCUUGCUUGGUUUAAAAUUUCAUAAGUGGCCACUAAUAAUGUUUCAAGUAGGAGAGGGGUGAUAAUUAUGGAAGCUGCUACAUAAUGUUCUUCUAUAGUCCUAUCUGAUGGGUGAUAAUUAUUUUGGAAGGAGAGGGUUUGAUUUAGUUUAGCAAUCUGGGCUAACAUACUGAUCUUAAGGCAGAUAAUAGUAGAUGUUGUAACAUGAGGUAGAUGUAAUUGCAUUCCUUUACAAGUAUGGAUGAGCUAUCAUCUUUUGCUGUGUUGUUAGAAACUAGACGAACUUGCGAUCAGGGCUUUUCACAUAUCAUGUUGGCAAAAUAUUCAAAUUGUCUUUGUUCUUGCUGUACACUACUGCAAGUAAGCACUACUGCAAGUAAGCACUGGCUUCGUCUUUAGUGGUCUAUAGCUCUGUUCCUUUCUGUUGUAUACUUCCUCCAUUUUUUUUAACUUGCAACAUUUCAUAUUUUAGGAAGUUGAAUAUUACUUGUAACAUUGACAUUUUUGGCAAUUUUCAUUUAGGCUUAUGGAGUAAUCACUUGUUGGAUAAAAGGUAGAGAUGGAUAACCCACAACUUGUUGCAUGGUCUGAAUCAUUUGAAUUUUCAUAGUUUACACUAAUUUUUUUUGCUCAUUGUUAUUUAUACUUCUACUUGUCUGUUAUGUGUUAAAAAUUUAUACAUUGUAAUUUAUAAUUUGUUACCUUUUGUUUAGCUUAGGUUAGUAGCGAGGCGACUCAUGAUUGGGUAAAACUAAUAGUAACAAUGACAUGUGGAGGAGAUCCUUGAAGCUUGAGUUGGAAUGAUAUGGACUAACAUUGUGGGUUAUACAUUUUCUACAAUGUGGAAGAACUACAAUAGUUAUGGUUUUUUAGCUUGUGAAACUUUUGACAGAUUCUCUAACUUUUUUUAUCGUAUUGAACCGUUAGCUAAGAUUGUAGAUACUUUUAUUAUUGGUACUUUUGGACAUCUAUGUACUUAUGAAUUAUGUUUUAUCA